rnacentral:rRNA from 1 species
GACGAAGAGGGCUAGCGUUGUUCGGAAUUACUGGGCGUAAAGGGCGCGUAGGUGGCCUGUUAAGUCGAACGUGAAAUCCCUGGGCUCGACCCAGGAACUGCGUCCGAUACUGGCAGGCUUGAAUUCGGGAGAGGGAUGCGGAAUUCCAGGUGUAGCGGUGAAAUGCGUAGAUAUCGGGAGGAACACCGGUGGCGAAGGCGGCGACCUGGGUCGAGACUGACGCUGAGGCGCGAAAGCGUGGGGAGCAAACAGG